rnacentral:ncRNA from 2 species
UCGAGUGCCUUGCGAAGGCAAGGGUAAAAGGGAAACCGGUGCAAAUCCGGUGCAACAGCCAUUACUGUAAGCGGUCAAACGCUGCGCACAGCCAUUGAACGAAAGUUUGAGAAGGCGCGCACAGCCUCUGUUCAAGGGGCCCGCAAGCCAGGAAACCUGCUCGAAU